AGGAAAGGAAAGAAAGGAAAGGAAAGGGGAGGAGAGGAGGCAGGGAGGAAGGAAAGAAAGAAAGGACAGAAGAAAGGUCAGCCCCUUCAAGAUACCUUCCCUACCUACCCCUGGUAUCUCCAAAUGAAAACCUUAUCAGAACACAACAGAAUAACGGUUUGGUUUCAUUUCAGUUACGGCAAUAAAAAUAACCCUUCUGGAUACUGUGUAUACAUUAUCUCUUUUAAUCCUUAUGAGGCUGAUACUGGCAUCCCCGUUGUACAGAUGAGAAAGCCACAUCUUCACAUUAAUGGCCUGCUUCAGUCGGACCUAUGCCGAGCAGUUCACAUGGACUAUCUUGCUUCACAUCACAAUAUCCCUGAAAGAUGGCUACUAUAUUAAAGAUGACGACACCAAGAGUGAAGAUCCCCAAAUGGUUUUUCUAAGAGGAAAAGUAGCUUUUCUACAGUUGAGCCCUAAAGGCUGUCCUGAGGUUCUGCCUCAGAAUCUCACUCUGGAUUUUUCAUUUCUUCCCUCUGCUGUGUCCCAAGGACUGGCCUGCUCUCCUCCCUCUUGAAGGAGGCAUCGUCCACCCAUGGGGUGAGGGGAGGUGUUGUGAAGGCGGCUGGAGCAUCCCCAUCUCUCUGAUGCCACCUUCCUUGUUAACCUUCAAUACAAUCAUGUAAACCGGGUUUGUUUUUGGUUUCAAGAAUUUCACUGCUGACGUAUGAGGCAAGAGAUGGGAUAAUAAAAUUAACAAAUGGGGUUAUUAUACACA